CCGGGGCCGGCCCGGUGGUGGCUGUCUCCGGCCUACGAGCUGAGGGUGCUCCCCCCGCUUUCUCCUCCCCAGCCUUCAGGGUGUGCCGGUGGCCUACGACAACAUCAGAGUGGUGGGUGAGCUCGGGGACAUUUACGACGACCAAGGAUUCAUCCACCUGAACGUCGAGGCAGACUUCGUCAUCUUCAGCCCCAAGAAAGGGAAAAAACUGGUGGGUGUAAUUAAUAAAGUGGCCCCUAGUCAUAUUGGCUGCCUGAUACAUGGAUGCUUCAAUGCUUCUAUCCCUAAACCUGAACAAAUGUCGAUUGUACAGUGGCAAGACCUGGGGUUAAAAAUAGGGGACGAACUCAAAUUUCAAGUAUUGCACUUGGAUUCUGAUGCAGCUGGAGUGUUCUUCAUUCGAGGGGGACUCACUAAAAGGAGACAUUUUCUCCAAUGCUCUCAGUUGCAAGCAUGAAGCCCAAACGAUCUGAGACUGUCACUGACAGUACAAAUGGAGAUGAAAUUCAAAAGCUUGACCAGCAGGAAAAUGACUUGAAUGACUCUGGGGGAGAUAAUGUCACAGAGGAGCCUCUGGGUGAGACGGAUAACACCAGGAGGGAAAAUGGAGAAGAGCAAAGUGUUGAUGCUGUGAAUGGAUUGUGCGAUGAUAAAAACAAGAAGAAGAAAAAGAAAAAGCAUAAGCAAGAAGAACAGGAACAUGUAUUGCCUACCAGUGACUCCAGUGGUUACCAAAGUGACCAUAAAAAGUCAAAGAAAAAGAAAAGAAAGCAUUGUGAUGAAGUUGAAGAAAGUGAAUUAUCUCAGCUGUCACAAGAACCCAAAGCUAAAAAGAAAAGAGACUAAAGUCUGAAGUGCCUUUCCUGAAUAAGAUUUCAGAUGUUUUUGAUAAGCUUCCAAUAAAAUCCUGUUUUCAAAAUGCAUAUGUA
rnacentral:lncRNA from 1 species